UCAAAGUUCUCAUGCACACGACUGCGCAAAUUUAUACAAAAAUAUUUGCUGUUUCACUUGCGGUACUUAAAUUAUAAAAUGCGUGUGUUCUUUCACACUAAUCAAUAAUUAAUAAGCAUUUAAAGUGUGAGGGAUGUUUUGGGAAUAAAACGUUGAUAAUCGUACUAUUAGUCCGUUAAACACCUCGAAUGUCGGCCUUAAGGCAGGUAAUUCCCUCAGGGACUUCGGCUCUGGGUGUUUCCCUUGUCUAAAGCCAACUUUCUCUGUGUUUAACAAGUAAUUUAUUAAUAGGUAGCUGACGAGUAGCUGUUUGCUUUUUUAUAUCAUCGCCAAUUACGAUCCCGCGAGAUUCCCGUCACGCGCCACGCAGUAUGUGCAAUCGCCGCGCUUGCAAUAAUUUCGAUAAUGUUAGUGAAUAACACUAAAUGUAGUUUAAUUUUUAGAAAUGGAUACCAACCGGUUACAAACUGGACGUGAGUUUGCUUCCAAAGGUCUAUCAACUAUUGUUAGUUAUUUGGGGCGUCAUUGGAAUAACCAUGACAAUAAAUGGGUAAAGUUUGGUCUGCUUGGCCUUGGUGGGUUGUACAUUUACUAUAAUGUAACAAGUUAUUUAAAGAAAGAGACAUUAAUAAUAACAAACAAUAACGGAACAAUCAAUGUACAUGUAAACAGUGCAGUCACUUAUAACACGAACCCGAACAUAAAGAUGAAGAGUGGGGAAAAUUUAUCUAGGAUAACAAUCAAGGAUAUUUGAAUAUUUCUGGAAAUCAUUAGAGAGACAAAAUCCGGAAUUAUUUUAUUAUACAUUAAUAAUCAUGAAAACUUUAUGCUGCAUGGUUUGGAUAAUUUACAAUCCUGCUACUUGAAUCACACCGUACGGCAUAUGUACAAUUAACAGUAAAAGAUAAUUAAGAUUACAGAACACCUUUGAGUGUUAAUUUUGCCUAAAAUUUUUUUAUUGGUCUCCAUGAAAGCAUUGGACUAGUUCUACUAUCUGACAAAGUUUGAACGAAAAAUGUUGAAAACUCGCAGAGUUAUUUAAUAAAAUACAUUUCGCUGCAAUAAGAAAAACAUUGAAAAUGUAAUAUUCAAAUUCAAUUUUCUCCCGAAGAAUUUUACGCCAAUUACUGAUUUUCAAACGAGUUGUGCUCCUGCGGGUUUUAGCGAAUUUCUCUCAAAUUUUCACAGGACAUAGCUAAAGACGUAAGUUUCAAAAUUGUGUUCGGCUUUGCUCUAAUUUUGGAUACUUUAAUAAUAAAGAGCAAUUCACUCAAACAAUUCAGAAAUAUAUUGCAGUCGUCAAAGAAAUCGCCAUAUCAGCGGAAUGACGAAGUAAACAAAAAUUUCCGAACACUAUUUUUUAGAACAUCUAUUUUACUGUUUAAAAAUGAUAUUUUUAUAAAUAUAACUUAAAACCAGCAGUAGCACAACUCAAAAGCGUAACGGUACAGCGAUUUACGAUUUUCCUGAAUAAUUCUUACAUUAUUUUAUUGUUUGUUAAUUUUAUAACUUUACCAUAUUUUGCAUGCACUGGCGAACAUUUGGUGAAAAUUUGAUGAAAAUCGGACUGAUUUUGACCGCGCAGUAGCGAUUUUCCGCAAAACGACAAAAAGGGUGUCCUGUAACCUUAAACGAACAAGCGAUUAUAUAUGUACAUAUAAAUAUUGAAAUUUUAAUAAUUCAUGGUUUGUACAACUUUUGUUUCGAAAGCAGAAAAUGUAGCAAGUCGCUCUAAUUGCUUAAGACGCUAUACAAUACUGUUGCUCCUUUUUAUCCAGUCCUGCGGUGUGUAAUAUUUCUAAUUAAAAUGGUAGAGCAUUUCUUGUCUUCAACGUUAUUAUGUACGUUAGUUUCAAAUUUAACAGCAAG